CCAUCAAUGAAUUCGCUCGUCCCGGUCACGUGACAUGUUUCCCCAGUCGAGCUAGCAAAAAUGAGUCUGGAUUUAUUUUGAAAAAUGUGUCGAUUCUCUCCCAAUGACGUCCGUCGGCGCAGCUGUGGCUCGUCUCGGUCACGUGACAUGUCACCCCAGUCCAGCCCCGCGAAGCAAGCAAAUAGGAGCAAGAAAUCGAGAUGUUUGGAAAAAAAGCUCAAUGAGGAGACGGAAGAAGAAGAAGAAGAAGAGGCUACGACGUCUAAGAAAAGGAAAGCUGCAUUUAAUUUCUGCAGUCCUACUGCAAAUAUGGCUUUAUCGCCGCCACAGACUAGCUAACAAGUUUGAAAUCCCAAAGGCUUACGGUAUGGAAAUUACGGUAAGUGUAUUUCAUGAUUACUUUUUAUGACAUUUUUAUAUUUACAUUAUGUGACAGGAAUUAGUCUUUUUUUUUUUUUAAACAGCCAUAAGAACCAUCUAUAUAGUUCUUGACACAUUUCCCAAAAACUGUAAGCACGAAUCGAUAGCAUGGAUUUGUGCAAAAAAGAACAACUUCAUAACUAGGAGUACAUUUGUUUAUUUCCAAUGCAGGAGCGGUCGAAAUGCGGUUCAACCAGAUAGAUGAAACAUAACAUGAACAUGGGCUUCAAACUCUUACCAUAAUCAAGCAGUACACAGUACUAACAAGUUUAAAUGGGGGGGGGGGGG